AACGCACAUUGCGCCCGCGAGUAUUCUCGCGGGCAUGCCUGUUCGAGCGUCAUUUCAACCAUCAAGCCCCCGGGCUUGUGUUGGGGACCUGCGGCUGCCGCAGGCCCUGAAAUCCAGUGGCGGGCUCGCUGACACACCGAGCGUAGUAGAUUUACAACCUCGCUUUGGGAGUGCUGCGGGUGCUAGCCGUAAAACGACCUUGUCUUUAGCACUAGGUUGACCUCGGAUCAGGUAGGAAGACCCGCUGAACUUAA
rnacentral:misc_RNA from 1 species